UGUCGGCGGACGUAAAAACGCAGCCGCGGAGAAGCAACCUCGUAAAAAGCGUA
rnacentral:ncRNA from 1 species